rnacentral:rRNA from 1 species
CGGGAAACCCAGGACCCAAACAACAAGGUGCGCAUGGCUUUUCUUCAGCNUCGUCUCGAUGAAGAUUGUUGGGUUAAGUCCCCGCAACGAGUGCAACCUCUGUAUCAACAGUUGGCCAUCAUUAAGUUGGGAACUCUGUUGAGACUGCCGUUGAUAAAACGGAGGAAGGUGGGGAUGAUGUCAAGUCAUCAUGGCCUUUAUGUUCAGGGCUACACACGUGCUACAAUGGCCGGUACAAAACGUCGCAAUCCCGCAAGGGGGAGCUAAUCGCAAAAACCGGUCUCAGUUCGGAUUGAAGUCUGCAACUCGACUUCAUGAAGUUGGAAUCGCUAGUAAUCGCAGAUCAGCAUGCUGCGGUGAAUACGUUCCCGGGUCUUUGUACACACCGCCCGUCACAUCACGAAAGUAGGUUGUACUAGAAGUAGGAGGGCUAACCCGCAAGGGAGGCAUCUUACCACGGUAUGAUUUAUGAUUGGGGUGAAGUCGUAACAGUAACUGUAGGAGAACCUGUGG